UUAUCUCUCUGAUGAUGGCGGCUCAGACUUGACUUUCUAUGCUCUCCUGGAGGCCUCUCACUUUGCUAAGUAUUGGAUACCGUUUUGCAAAACAAACAACAUCGAGCCAAGGUCCCCUGAGACCUACUUUGCACGCAAUAGUAAUGAGCAACAGUUCACGAAUUAUCAAGAAUGGUCAGAUGUUAAGAAUCUAUAUGAAGAAAUGAAGGAACGGAUCGAAUCAACCAUGGAAAGAGGUAGCAUUUCGAAAGAAAUAAGGGAUAAACAUAAAGGAUUCUCAGAAUGGAACCAGAAUGUAACAAAGAACGAUCAUCAGCCUAUUGUGCAGAUUGUUAUUGAUGGAAGGGAUGAAACUGCUG
rnacentral:misc_RNA from 1 species